GUGGGCUCUUCUUCAUCCUCACGUUGGCUUUGCAUUGAGAAUUAACACUGGUCUACCUCUAAAGACAAUUCCUACACAGUGAGGAUGGUUUUCAUUGACCGCUUUUGAAUGUUCUGCUUAUUAAGAGAUGAACUCUUUGGUAAUAAUUGAGGUGCGUGUGGCAAUUAAAUGGCAGGUUAUGAUGAGUGCCAACCCCUUUUGGACCAUUGCAACAAGCGACGGGAAAAAAAAAUAUGCAGACAUUUCCAGGGCAGCAUGGUGGCGCAAUGGGUAGCGCUGUUGCCUCACAGUUAGGAGACCUGAGGUUCACUUCCCGGGUCCUCCCUGUGUGGAGUUUGCAUGUUCUCCCCGUGUCUGCAUGGGUUUCAUCCCACAGUCCAAAGACAUGCAGAUUAGGUGCAUUGGCGAUUCUAAAUUGUCCCUAGUGUGUGUGUGUGUGUGUGUGUGUGUAUGUGCCCUGCGGUGGGCUGGCGCCCUGCCUGGGGUUUGUUUCCUGCUUUGCACCCUGUACUGGCUGGGAUUGGCUCCAGUAGACCCCCUGUGACCCUGUAGUUAGGAUAUGGCGGGUUGGACAAUGACUGGCUGACAUUUCCUUUUUUGAUUAUUCUGGCAGUGAAGUGCACCCCCAAACCCCCCCAAAGUGUUAAACUUGGCUCAGAGUUGAGUGGGGUCUGCUUAACCCUUUAAACUCGUUGUCGUUUUUGUCUGUUUUCUGCUACUUUGAUUUAUCUGACUAUAACUUUGUCAUCCUUCACUCAUUAUUCAUGCUUCAUUUAUUUGAAAGGCCCACUUUUAAUAUUAUGAAUUUUCUGGGGUUUUUUUUCCAGUUUUUGUUAACCUAAACUUUAAAUUUAAACCUCGGACAGUUUACUGCUUACCUUUCAUUUUAAGUUAUUCAGUGCAUUUCAACAGAUUCAAUUUGAAGAAAAUCUGAGGUGUUCUGAAUCAUUUGACCAGAAGUGUGUAGUUGGUAAAGAAAUUAUACUGUUUAUCCGAAUUACAACAUCAAUAGUUGUUAAGAUUCAAAAACGUCUUAACAAAAAAAAUAAUAAUAAAUGUGGCGGAGUGGUGGCUCUGAGGCUAGAGAUCUGCACUGGCAAUUGGAUAGAUAGAUAGAUAGAUAGAUAGAUAGAUAGAUAGAUAGAUAGAUAGAUAGAUAGAUAGAUAGAUAGAUAGAUAGAUAGAUAGAUAGAUACUUUACUAAUCCCAAGGGGAAAUUCACAUACUCCAGCAGCAGCAUACUGAUACAAAAAACAAUAUUGAAUUAAAGAUUGAUAAUAAUGCAGGAAAAAACAGACAAUAACUUUGUAUAAUGUUAACGUUUACCCCCCCGGGUGGAAUUGAAGAGUCGCAUAGUGUGGGGGAGGAACGAUCUCCUCAGUCUGUCAGUGGAGCAGGACGGUGACAGCAGUCUGUCGCUGAAGCUGCUCUUCUGUCUGGAGAUGAUCCUGUUUAGUGGAUGCAGUGGAUUCUCCAUAAUUGAUAGGAGCCUGCUCAGCGCCCGUCGCUCUGCCACGGAUGUCAAGCUGUCCAGCUCCAUGCCUACAAUAGAGCCCGCCUUCCUCACCAGUUUGUCCAGGCGUGAGGCGUCCUUCUUCUUUAUGCUGCCUCCCCAGCACACCACUGCGUAGAAGAGGGCGCUCGCCACAACCGUCUGAUAGAACAUCUGCAGCAUCUUAUUGCAGAUGUUGAAGGACGCCAGCCUUCUAAGGAAGUAUAGUCGUCUCUGUCCUCUCUUACACAGAGCAUCAGUAUUGGCAGUCCAAUCCAAUUUAUCAUCCAGCUGCACUCCCAGGUAUUUAUAGGUCUGCACCCUCUGCACACAGUCACCUCUGAUGAUCACGGGGUCCAUGAGGGGCCUGGGCCUCCUAAAAUCCACCACCAGCUCCUUGGUUUUGCUGGUGUUCAGGUGUAGGUGGUUUGAGUCGCACCAUUUAACAAAGUCAUUGAUGAGGUUCCUAUACUCCUCCUCCUGCCCACUCCUGAUGCAGCCCACGAUAGCAGUGUCGUCAGCGAACUUUUGCACGUGGCAGGACUCUGAGUUAUAUUGGAAGUCCGAUGUAUAUAGGCUGAACAGGACCGGAGAUAGUACAGCCCCCUGCGGCGCUCCUGUGUUGCUGACCACAAUGUCAGACCUGCAGUUCCCGAGACGCACAUACUGAGGUCUGUCUGUAAGAUAGUCCACGAUCCAUGCCACCAGGUAUGAAUCUACUCCCAUCUCUGUCAGCUUGUCCCUAAGGAGCAGAGGUUGAAUUGUGUUGAAGGCGCUAGAGAAGUCUAGAAACAUAAUUUUGACAGCACCACUGCCUCUGUCCAAGUGGGAGAGGGAUCGAUGUAGCAUGUAGAUGAUGGCAUCCUCUGCUCCCACCUUCUCCUGAUAUGCAAACUGCAGAGGGUCGAGGGCGUGUUGAACCUGUGGCCUCAGGUGGUGAAGCAGCAGCCUCUCCAUGGUCUUCAUCACAUGUGACGUCAGCGCAACAGGCUGGAAGUCAUUCAGCUCACUAGGACGUGAUACCUUUGGGACUGGGGUGAUGCAAGAUGUUUUCCAAAGCCUCGGGACUCAGGUUGCCGGUUCGAAUCCCGUUAAUGCCAAUAGGGACUCUGCUUGAGCAAGGCACUUAACCUGCAAUUGCUGAGCGCUUUGAGUAGUGAGAAAAGCACUAUAUAAAUGCAAAGAAUUAUUAUUAUUAUUAUUAAAGUAUAAAAAGUGAAAAACAUAGAAAGUAGAAUGUAGUGUCAUUUGAAAGUUGAAUGACCCCUCUCAUUUAGUAGAUAAUGGUCACUCCGUCAAAUUGUACACAGUUGAAUCAAUAGAGUGUUGUACCGUGUUAGCCAUAGAUUGAUACAGGAGAAAGUAGGAUGAAAUGACACCUUUUAUUGGCUAACUAAAUAAAUUACAAAUGCAAACUUUCGAGGCGGCUAAGGCACCUUGUGGACUCAGCACACAGCCUUGUGGAGAUCCUGUGCCGAGCAGAAAGGAAGAGGAGUGAUGAAGGCCGAGUUUAAGCCUUUGUGGACGAUUUGUUAGAAAGUCCUUUAUCCCGGUGCAGGUAGAGGAGGGAAGGCCUAAGCCUGUCAGCUUGCUUACCAAUAUGUCCAGGAUUAUUGUAUUAAAUGCUGAACUGCCGGCUAUGAAGAGCAGCCGUUGGUCUGCAUGGCUCAGCUCAGUAUGUAGAGUGGUAGGAAUGGCAUCUUCUGUGGACCUUUUUGAUCUGCAUACAGGCUGAUGCUGGUCGAAAGUGGAUGUGACUGUGCAGCAAAGCAUGAGGGGAACAGCGUCAUCGAGUUCACAGAUGACACCACUUUGAUUGGCUUCAUCAGCGACCAUGAUACACCUUGCCUGAUGAAGGGUCCUUAGCUGCCUCAAAAGCUUGCAUGUGUAAUCUAUUUAGUUAGCCAAUAAAAGGUGUAAUUUCACCCUACUUUCUACAGUUGAAUCAGGACGUUGAAGAAAGCUAUGGGUUAGAGGCAGGUGUUGCUGUGUACGGCAGGUCAUCCAUUUUUGAAGCAAGAAAGAAAACCACUGCAGCAUGGUGUUGUGGUAUGUAAUAUUGCAUUUUCACAGCAAAACACUAUAUAACAAUGAGGAAAUUAAUGACAUUUGUUUUACUGCAUUAAAUCAUUAUUAUUUGGUCCCACCGGCGGGUUCAAAACAAUGGGGCUGAAUUUAAAGGAUUAACACACAACCUCAGUUCAUCCAUACAUUGUGCAUCAACAAAAGUCCUUCCUCCAGAAUUUCAGGGUCAAUCAGGUACUAAUAAAGAAAGCUUUAUUAAAUUAACAUGCAAACCAUAGCAGGCUGCUCCAUCACCGGGAAUUGAAAUGUAUUUCUGUGACGUACAUGUUCUGUUCUUAGUAGAUUCAAAGCGUGCUCUUCGGGAACAGCAGUCAUAAAGGCAACAACCGUAUUACCAGUCUGUUAGCUGGCAGCAGGCAAGUGGAAUUGAUUGUGUAAUUGACACACCAGAAGGGCGACUCAUGAAGCCAUUGGUGCGUAUUGAUUUGUGAAGCGCAGCAGAGGCAACCAUACUUUAGGAAAACAGUCUGGGAUAAACUAAAAGAAAGGGGGAAAGAAAAGGAUCAAAGACGGACAUGUACAUUAAUUAGAAUUACUCGUUUAUGUGUGCUUUAUGCUUUAUUUAUUUUAUUU